rnacentral:rRNA from 1 species
GACGAACGCUGGCGGCGUGCUUAACACAUGCAAGUCGAACGGAAAGGCCCUGCUUUUGUGGGGUGCUCGAGUGGCGCACGGGUGAGUAACACGUGAGUAACCUGCCCUUGACUUUGGGAUAACUUCAGGAAACUGGGGCUAAUACCGGAUAGGAGCUACUGCUGCAUGGUGGGGGUUGGAAAGUUUCGGCGGUUGGGGAUGGACUCGCGGCUUAUCAGCUUGUUGGUGGGGUAGUGGCUUACCAAGGCUUUGACGGGUAGCCGGCCUGAGAGGGUGACCGGCCACAUUGGGACUGAGAUACGGCCCAGACUCCUACGGGAGGCAGCAGUGGGGAAUAUUGCACAAUGGGCGGAAGCCUGAUGCAGCAACGCCGCGUGCGGGAUGACGGCCUUCGGGUUGUAAACCGCUUUCGCCUGUGACGAAGCGUGAGUGACGGUAAUGGGUAAAGAAGCACCGGCUAACUACGUG